CCUACGGGUGGCAGCAGUGGGGAAUCUUGCACAAUGGGGGAAACCCUGAUGCAGCGACGCCGCGUGAGUGAAGAAGUAUUUCGGUAUGUAAAGCUCUAUCAGCAGGGAAGAUAAUGACGGUACCUGACUAAGAAGCCCCGGCUAACUACGUGCCAGCAGCCGCGGUAAUACGUAGGGGGCAAGCGUUAUCCGGAUUUACUGGGUGUAAAGGGAGCGUAGGUGGCAGGGCAAGUCAGAUGUGAAAACCCGGGGCUCAACCCCGGGAGUGAAUUUGAAACUGUCCAGCUGGAGUGCAGGAGGGGGAAGCGGAAUUCCUGGUGUAGCAGUGAAAUGCGUAGAUAUUGGGAGGAACACCAGUGGCGAAGGCGGCUUACUGGACUGUAACUGACGCUGAGGCUCGAAAGCGUGGGGAGCAAACAGGAUUAGAUACCCGAGUAGUC
rnacentral:rRNA from 1 species